UAGCGUUGUCCGGAAUCAUUGGGCGUAAAGCGCGCGUAGGCGGCCAGAUAAGUCCGGUGUGAAAGUCACAGGCUCAACCUGUGAAUGCCGCUGGAAACUGUCUGGCUUGAGUCCGGAAGGGGCGAGUGGAAUUCCUGGUGUAGCGGUGAAAUGCGCAGAUAUCAGGAAGAACACCAACGGCGAAGGCAGCUCGCUGGGACGGUACUGACGCUGAGACGCGAAAGCGUGGGGAGCGAACAGG
rnacentral:rRNA from 1 species